UACGUAGGGGGCAAGCGUUGUCCGGAAUCAUUGGGCGUAAAGAGCGCGUAGGCGGUCCGGUAAGUCGGUUGUGAAAACUGGGGGCUCAACCCUCAGAGGCCGACCGAUACUGUCGGGCUAGAGUCCGGAAGAGGCGAGUGGAAUUCCUGGUGUAGCGGUGAAAUGCGCAGAUAUCAGGAGGAACACCCGUGGCGAAAGCGGCUCUCUGGGACGGUACUGACGCUGAGACGCGAAAGCGUGGGGAGCAAACAGG
rnacentral:rRNA from 1 species